UACGUAGGGUGCGAGCGUUGUCCGGAAUUAUUGGGCGUAAAGAGCUUGUAGGCGGUUUGUCGCGUCUGCUGUGAAAAUCCGGGGCUCAACCCCGGACUUGCAGUGGGUACGGGCAGACUAGAGUGUGGUAGGGGAGACUGGAAUUCCUGGUGUAGCGGUGGAAUGCGCAGAUAUCUGGAGGAACACCGAUGGCGAAGGCAGGUCUCUGGGCCACCACUGACGCUGAGAAGCGAAAGCAUGGGGAGCGAACAGG
rnacentral:rRNA from 1 species